AUACGUAGGUGACAAGCGUUAUCCGGAUUUACUGGGCGUAAAGGGCGUGUAGGCGGUCUUGCAAGUCAGAAGUGAAAUUCCUGAGCUCAACUCGGGCGCUGCUUCUGAAACUGCAGGACUUGAGUGCUGGAGGGGAUAGCGGAAUUCCUAGUGGAGCGGUAAAAUGCGCAGAUAUUAGGAAGAACACCGGUGGCGAAGGCGGCUAUCUGGACAGUAACGGACGCUGAGGCGCGAAAGUGGGGGGAGCAAACAGGAUUAGAUACCCUGGUAGUCCACACUGUAAACGAUGAAUGCUAGGUGUAAGAGGUAUCGACCCCUUUUGUGCCGGAGUUAACACAAUAAGCAUUCCGCCUGGGGAGUACGGCCGCAAGGUUGAAACUCAAAGGAAUUGACGGGG
rnacentral:rRNA from 1 species